rnacentral:rRNA from 1 species
ACUCAAAUGAAUAGACGGGGGCCCGCACAAGCGGUGGAGCAUGUGGUUUAAUUCGACGCAACGCGAAGAACCUUACCUGGGCUCGAACGGCUGCAGACCGCCGGUGGAAACACUGGCUUUCCCGCAAGGGACUGUAGUCGAGGUGCUGCAUGGCUGUCGUCAGCUCGUGUCGUGAGAUGUUGGGUUAAGUCCCGCAACGAGCGCAACCCUUGUCCUGUGUUGCUAACCCCUUAAAAGGUGCACUCUCAGGAGACCGCCAGCGAUAAGUUGGAGGAAGGUGGGGAUGACGUCAAGUCAUCAUGGCCUUUAUGUCCAGGGCUACACACGUGCUACAAUGGACGGUACAAAGCGCUGCAAACUCGCGAGAGGGAGCUAAUCGCAAAAAACCGUUCUCAGUUCGGAUUGCAGGCUGCAACUCGCCUGCAUGAAGCUGGAAUCGCUAGUAAUGGCAUAUCAGAACGAUGCCGUGAAUACGUUCCCGGGCCUUGUACACACCGCCCGU